CAGGACACAGGUGAUCUGAAUCCACUGCAAUCAGCCCAGAAGACUCGGCCGAAACAAAGAAAGACAAGGUUCAUUCUGCUGCAAAGUGUUGUUGAGAUACAGUACGAGCGACUUCUCGAGAUGCUCUGUGUGGUUGUAAUACUGAAAUACUGAGCAGAGAACGCUGCGUGCACGCAAGACUUCUUCUAUCUUUGGACCCAAAAGACAGUUGACCUUUACCUUCCUGUCGGCACUGCCCUUUCUAUUGUGAGUCUAAUUCUAGCAGGUUGGCUCACUGCUCUUGAGGGCGAGCGGUGCAGUUCUGGGUAUUGUGGUCACUUGUUUUCACUGGAUGGAGGAAUUUAAGCUCCACUUUUCAUUCUGCUUAAUAACCUGUUCAAGUCCAGCUCAUAUAAUCAGUUGGUUAUGUUUCCUGUGUCAGUCGUCAUUAAUCAUGAAAUAGAAAAUGAGUUAGAGUCCCACACUUCUGUUGAUACUGUAUUUUAAUUUUUGUAUUGAAUGUUUCUGACCUAAAUAAAACAUUUGGAGUAUU